rnacentral:rRNA from 1 species
UACGAAGGGGGCUAGCGUUGCUCGGAAUCACUGGGCGUAAAGCGCACGUAGGCGGGUCGUUAAGUCGGGGGUGAAAUCCUGGAGAUCAACUCCAGAACUGCCUUCGAUACUGGCGAUCUUGAGUUCGGAAGAAGUUGGUGGAAUUGCGAGUGUAGAGGUGAAAUUCUUAGAUAUUCGCAAGUACACCAGUGGCGAAGGCGGCCAACUGGUUCGAUUCUGACGCUGAGGUGCGAAAGCGUGUGGAGCAAACAGG